rnacentral:misc_RNA from 1 species
UUGAUUCAUUUGCUUGCCCUUUCGGGGCCACUCAGACGUAGAUGCCGCUGGGGUAGACACGAGAGUUUGUUGGGGCCUCCGGCGGGCGCCUGGUUCCGGGCGCGGGGGCCCGGGGCUGUCCCGCCGAAGCAACGUUUUGGUAAGGUUCACAGUGGGUUUGGGAGUUUUGGAAACUCGGUAAUGAUCCCUCCGCUGGUUCACCAACGGAGA